rnacentral:sRNA from 1 species
AGUUUCGGCUCGGCAGACCCGGCGAGCCCAGUGGCCGCGCUCCGGUGCGGCGGCGCCCGAGGCCCGAGGCGGAAGUGGGACGGCCAAGCAGGGAAGCGAGGGCUCGGGAUCGACGGCCGCGGGGCGCCGACGAGGAGUGCAGGACUCAGGAAGGGCGAGUGCGCGGCGACAGAGCCCGGGGAAGGAGGCAGGGCAAGGCCGGGCUUGGGGGCAGGUGGUCCGGGCAUCCAGCCUUGAAGAUGCACAAGAGGAAAGGACCCCCGGGACCCCCGGGCAGAGGCGCCGCGGCCGCCCGCCAGCUGGGCCUGCUGGUUGACCUCUCCCCAGAUGGCCUGAUGAUCCCUGAGGACGGAGCUAACGAUGAAGAACUGGAGGCUGAGUUCUUGGCUUUGGUCGGGGGCCAGCCCCCAGCCCUGGAGAAGCUCAAAGGCAAAGCCGAAGCCUGAGGCCCCUCAUCCGGGGCUGGAGACCACCUUGCAGGAGAGGCUGGCGCUCUAUCGCACAGCAAUUGAAAGCGCCAGACAAGCUGGAGACAGCGCCAAGAUGCGGCGCUACGAUCGGGGGCUUAAAACACUGGAAAACCUGCUCGCCUCCGUCCGGAAGGGCAAUGCCAUUGACGAAGCGGACAUCCCGCCGCCAGUGGCCAUAGGAAAAGGCCCAGCGUCCACGCCUACCUACAGCCCUGCACCCACCCAGCCGGCCCCUGGAAUCGCGUCAGCCCCAGAGCCCAGGGUCACCCUGGAGGGACCUUCUCCCACCGCCCCAGCCUCAUCUCCAGGCUUGGCUAAACCCCAGAUGCCCCCAGGUCCCUGCAGCCCUGGCCCUCUGGCCCAGUUGCAGAGCCGCCAGCGCGACUACAAGCUGGCUGCCCUCCACGCCAAGCAGCAGGGAGAUACCACUGCUGCCGCUAGACACUUCCGCGUGGCUAAGAGCUUUGAUGCUGUCUUGGAGGCCCUGAGCCGGGGUGAACCCGUGGACCUCUCCUGCCUGCCCCCUCCACCCGACCAGCUGCCCCCAGACCCACCGUCACCACCGUCGCAGCCUCCGACCCCCGCUAUGGCGCCCUCCACACCAGAGGUGCCCCCACCCCCGAGGACCCUGCUGGAGGCGCUGGAGCAGCGGAUGGAGCGGUACCAGGUGGCCGCAGCCCAGGCCAAGAGCAAGGGGGACCAGCGGAAAGCUCGAAUGCACGAGCGCAUCGUCAAGCAAUACCAAGAUGCCAUCCGAGCCCACAAGGCUGGCCGAGCGGUGGACGUCGCUGAAUUGCCCGUGCCCCCAGGCUUCCCACCAAUCCAGGGCCUGGAGGCCACCAAGCCCACCCAGCAGAGUCUGGUAGGCGUCCUGGAGACUGCCAUGAAGCUGGCCAACCAGGAAGAAGGCCCAGAGGAUGAAGAGGAUGAGGUGCCUAAGAAGGUUUGAGGGUUGGGGCCGGGCGUAGUGGUUCACACCUGUAGUCCCAGCACUUUGGGAAUCCAAGAUGGGAGGAUCGCUUGAAGCCAGGAGUUUGAGACCAUCCUGGGCCACAUAGUGAGACCCCCAUCUCUACAAAAAAAUUUUUAAAAAUUAGCCAGGCAUGGUGGGACUCACCUGUAGUCCCUGCUACUUGGGAGACUGAGGUGGGAGGAUCGCCUGAACUAAGGAGUUCAAGGCUGCAGUGAGCCAUGGUCAUGCCACUGUACUCCAGUCUGGGUGACAGAGCAAGACCUCAUCUCCAAAACAAUUAAAAAAAAAAAAAAAGUGUUUGGUGAGAAUUCCUUGAACCGGGAGGCAGAGGUUGCAGUGAGCCAAGAUCGUGCUACUGCACCCCAGCCUGGACAAUACAGUGAUACUCUGUCUCAG